rnacentral:rRNA from 1 species
GAAUGCUGACAUAAGUAACGAUAAAGCGGGUGAAAAGCCCGCUCGCCGGAAGACCAAGGGUUCCUGUCCAACGUUAAUCGGGGCAGGGUGAGUCGACCCCUAAGGCGAGGCCGAAAGGCGUAGUCGAUGGGAAACAGGUUAAUAUUCCUGUACUUGGUGUUACUGCGAAGGGGGGACGGAGAAGGCUAUGUUGGCCGGGCGACGGUUGUCCCGGUUUAAGCGUGUAGGCUGGUUUUCCAGGCAAAUCCGGAAAAUCAAGGCUGAGGCGUGAUGACGAGGCACUACGGUGCUGAAGCAACAAAUGCCCUGCUUCCAGGAAAAGCCUCUAAGCAUCAGGUAACAUCAAAUCGUACCCCAAACCGACACAGGUGGUCAGGUAGAGAAUACCAAGGCGCUUGAGAGAACUCGGGUGAAGGAACUAGGCAAAAUGGUGCCGUAACUUCGGGAGAAGGCACGCUGAUAUGUAGGUGAAGCGACUUGCUCGUGGAGCUGAAA